AACGCGUGAGGAACCUGCCUUGAAGAGGGGGACAACAGUUGGAAACGACUGCUAAUACCGCAUGAAGCAUAGGGGUCGCAUGAUUCUUAUGCCAAAGAUUUAUCGCUUCAAGAUGGCCUCGCGUCUGAUUAGCUAGUUGGCGGGGUAACGGCCCACCAAGGCGACGAUCAGUAGCCGGACUGAGAGGUUGAACGGCCACAUUGGGACUGAGAUACGGCCCAGACUCCUACGGGAGGCAGCAGUGGGGAAUAUUGGGCAAUGGGCGCAAGCCUGACCCAGCAACGCCGCGUGAAGGAAGAAGGCUUUCGGGUUGUAAACUUCUUUUAAGAGGGAAGAGCAGAAGACGGUACCUCUAGAAUAAGCCACGGCUAACUACGUGCCAGCAGCCGCGGUAAUACGUAGAUGGCAAGCGUUGUCCGGAUUUACUGGGUGUAAAGGGCGUGCAGCCGGGUCUGCAAGUCAGAUGUGAAAUCCAUGGGCUCAACCCAUGAACUGCAUUUGAAACUGUAGAUCUUGAGUGUCGGAGGGGCAAUCGGAAUUCCUAGUGUAGCGGUGAAAUGCGUAGAUAUUAGGAGGAACACCAGUGGCGAAGGCGGAUUGCUGGACGAUAACUGACGGUGAGGCGCGAAAGUGUGGGGAGCAAACAGGAUUAGAUACCCUGGUAGUCCACACUGUAAACGAUGAAUACUAGGUGUGCGGGGACUGACCCCCUGCGUGCCGCAGUAAACACAAUAAGUAUUCCACCUGGGGAGUA
rnacentral:rRNA from 1 species